UACCAGCACCCCGAGUGGUCGGGACGAUUAUUGGGCCUAAAGCAUCCGUAGCCGGUUCUACAAGUCUUCCGUUAAAUCCACCUGCUUAACAGAUGGGCUGCGGAGGAUACUACAAGGCUAGGAGGCGGAAGAGGCAAGCGGUACUCAGUGGGUAGGGGUAAAAUCCUCUGAUCCAUUGAAGACCACCAGUGGCGAAGGCGGCUUGCCAAUACGCGCUCGACGGUGAGGGAUGAAAGCUGGGGAGCAACCGGG
rnacentral:rRNA from 1 species